CGGAGCUUGCUCCACCGGAAAAAGAGGAGUGGCGAACGGGUGAGUAACACGUGGGUAACCUGCCCAUCAGAAGGGGAUAACACUUGGAAACAGGUGCUAAUACCGUAUAACAAUCGAAACCGCAUGGUUUUGAUUUGAAAGGCGCUUUCGGGUGUCGCUGAUGGAUGGACCCGCGGUGCAUUAGCUAGUUGGUGAGGUAACGGCUCACCAAGGCGACGAUGCAUAGCCGACCUGAGAGGGUGAUCGGCCACAUUGGGACUGAGACACGGCCCAAACUCCUACGGGAGGCAGCAGUAGGGAAUCUUCGGCAAUGGACGAAAGUCUGACCGAGCAACGCCGCGUGAGUGAAGAAGGUUUUCGGAUCGUAAAACUCUGUUGUUAGAGAAGAACAAGGAUGAGAGUAACUGUUCAUCCCUUGACGGUAUCUAACCAGAAAGCCACGGCUAACUACGUGCCAGCAGCCGCGGUAAUACGUAGGUGGCAAGCGUUGUCCGGAUUUAUUGGGCGUAAAGCGAGCGCAGGCGGUUUCUUAAGUCUGAUGUGAAAGCCCCCGGCUCAACCGGGGAGGGUCAUUGGAAACUGGGAGACUUGAGUGCAGAAGAGGAGAGUGGAAUUCCAUGUGUAGCGGUGAAAUGCGUAGAUAUAUGGAGGAACACCAGUGGCGAAGGCGGCUCUCUGGUCUGUAACUGACGCUGAGGCUCGAAAGCGUGGGGAGCAAACAGGAUUAGAUACCCUGGUAGUCCACGCCGUAAACGAUGAGUGCUAAGUGUUGGAGGGUUUCCGCCCUUCAGUGCUGCAGCUAACGCAUUAAGCACUCCGCCUGGGGAGUACGACCGCAAGGUUGAAACUCAAAGGAAUUGACGGGGGCCCGCACAAGCGGUGGAGCAUGUGGUUUAAUUCGAAGCAACGCGAAGAACCUUACCAGGUCUUGACAUCCUUUGACCACUCUAGAGAUAGAGCUUCCCCUUCGGGGGCAAAGUGACAGGUGG
rnacentral:rRNA from 1 species